rnacentral:sRNA from 1 species
UGACCAAUUGGCAUGAGGUUCUUUGAAAUCUCUUUCAAAUAUGCUGCGGAUUGUUGCUGCAACUAUAGAGUCAUCGUCAAACCUACAACAACAGCAACAAAACACAUAAGGAUCUCUAUGUCUUUAUACUUCUAAGAAACUACAAUGCUAAGUACAACCAACCUAAAUCCAGAGACUUCUAAGGCAGGACCAAACUUCUAAGGCAGAACCAACCUAAAUCCAUAAACUUCUAAGGCAGAACUAACCAACUUACAAGACCUAAUUCCAGAGACUAUAAGCUUAACCUUACCAGAGAGUUCCCGGAGGAUGCUUUGGGUCUAGCCUUGUCAAGCCAGCACAACCAGGACUAUCGAGGAGCUCUUCCAGUGUCAGAUUGUUGAGACGGUCAACUUGAACAUCAUAAUGAUUGACAGAAGGCUGAGUCGUUGGCGUUGGAGGCGAUGGUGGAACGGUUGAACCUGAACGUGAACCUGAACCUUGAACCCCUGAGAUAUUCCCACCACUAACAGGAGAAUUGACAUGCAACGGGUCACGCUGCUGUUGUCUAACCCGUACAAAAGUAUUAUCCGACGGCAUCUUGCACAAAAAACAAAUCAAGAGUUAGAUCUGGGAAAAAGAAGUAAGAUCGGAGAAGAAGAAUGAGUUAGAUUUGAGAGAAGAACUUAGAUCGGAGAAACAGAGGUUACCUUUGAGGCAAAACAGAUCGAGUCGGAGAAGAAGAAACGCGGCGGUGUUUGAAUACAGAUCGAAGAAGAAGAGAGGCGGCGAAGAGAGUCUGCGUCGUAAUCAGAUCGGAGAAGAAGAGAGGCGGCGAUGAGUAUAACAGAUUAGAGAAGAAGAAGAAGAGAGGCGGCGACGGAAUCGGAUCGGAGAAGAAGAGAUCCGGCGCCGAAGAGAUCAGAGAAGAAGAAGAGAAUCGAAGAAAAUUUUUAGGGUUAGGGUUUGAUGCGGCUGGUUUGAGCUCCGCUCAAACUAGGUCUUCGAGUAUAUAUAGGAAUUUAUUUCCUCGCAAAACCCUCGCAUAGUUUGCUUUGAAAUUGCGAGGAAGAUUUUUAAACCAAUUAAAACGCACCACAUAUUGCGAGGGAAUUGCGAGAACACCUAGCAAGUCCCUCGCAACUUAUGAUUUUUAAUAAUUUUGGGUUUAGGGUAAAAUUUACGACGGAAGUGCGAGUGCGUCUAGCAAUUCCCUCGCAAUCCUUCAACCAAUUAACUCCACCAUUUUGAUUUAGUGUUUGAAUCAGAUCUGAUUUAGAUUCACCUAUUUCGAAUAAGACUCCCAGCAAAUUAAAAUAUGACUAAAUAUUUUAAAUAAUUUAAGGUUUAUGGUAAAUAUUUGCGAGGGAACUGCUACGACAGACUUGCAAAUCUCUCGCAAAAACCUCGCAUUGUUGAAUCAAUUU